ACGGCUCAGUAACACGUGGACAACUGCCCAAAGGUCCGGGAUAACCCCGGGAAACUGGGGAUAAUACCGGAUAAAUCACAAGUACUGGAAGGUUUUGUGGUUGAAACUUCCGGGGCCUUUGGAUGGGUCUGCGGCUGAUUAGGUUGUUGCCGGUGUAACGUACCGUCAAGCCUGUAAUCAGUACGGGUUGUGGGAGCAAGAGCCCGGAGAUGGAUUCUGAGACACGAAUCCAGGCCCUACGGGGCGCAGCAGGCGCGAAAACUCUACAAUGCAGGCAACUGCGAUAGGGGAACAUCGAGUGAUACUCAUCUUGGGUGUCUGUCCUCCCGUCUAAAAAACGGGAGUUAGCAAGGGCCGGGCAAGACCGGUGCCAGCCGCCGCGGUAAUACCGGCGGCUCGAGUGGUGGCCGAUAUUAUUGAGUCUAAAGGGUCCGUAGCCGGCUUUGCAAGUCUUUUGGGAAAUCCAGCGGCUUAACCGUUGGUCGUCCGGGAGAUACUACAUUGCUUGGGACUGGGAGAGGUAGGAGGUACUCAGGGGGUAGGAGUGAAAUCCUGUAAUCCUUUGGGGACCACCGGUGGCGAAGGCGUCCUACCAGAACAGGUCCGACGGUGAGGGACGAAAGCUAGGGGCACGAACCGGAUUAGAUACCCGGGUAGUCCUAGCCGUAAACGAUGCUCGCUAGGUGUCACAACAAUCGUGAAUUGUUGUGGUGCCGUAGGGAAGCCGUGAAGCGAGCCACUUGGGAAGUACGACCGCAAGGUUGAAACUUAAAGGAAUUGGCGGGGGAG
rnacentral:rRNA from 1 species